GAUCCUUGCCGAAGUUUUAGAAGAUGCUGCAUCGUGGGUAGAUAGACCGUGGUAUAACUUUAACAAAGGGGGGAAGAAUAACCAGAAGCAUCCUGAUCAGCCUAAAAAACCCACUAACUUCCUACAUGUUGUUCUACAUGGAACAAAAAGAUGCUGUUUUGGAGAAACAACCUGGUCUUGGAAUGACGGAGUUGAGCAAGAUUAUUGCCAAAAUGUAUCAUGAACUUAACAAGACGGAUGAGAGUCCAGAG